GAGUUUGAUCCUGGCUCAGGAUGAACGCUGGCGGCGUGCCUAACACAUGCAAGUCGAACGAAGCGAUUAGGAUGAAGUUUUCGGAUGGAUUCCUGGUUGACUGAGUGGCGGACGGGUGAGUAACGCGUGGAUAACCUGCCUCACACUGGGGGAUAACAGUUAGAAAUGGCUGCUAAUACCGCAUAAGCGCACAGUACCGCAUGGUACGGUGUGAAAAACCCAGGUGGUGUGGGAUGGAUCCGCGUCUGAUUAGCCAGUUGGCGGGGUAACGGCCCACCAAAGCGACGAUCAGUAGCCGACCUGAGAGGGUGACCGGCCACAUUGGGACUGAGACACGGCCCAAACUCCUACGGGAGGCAGCAGUGGGGAAUAUUGCACAAUGGGCGAAAGCCUGAUGCAGCGACGCCGCGUGAGUGAAGAAGUAUCUCGGUAUGUAAAGCUCUAUCAGCAGGGAAGAAAAUGACGGUACCUGACUAAGAAG
rnacentral:rRNA from 1 species